rnacentral:rRNA from 1 species
UGGGGAAUAUUGGACAAUGGGCGAAAGCCUGAUCCAGCCAUGCCGCGUGAGUGACGAAGGCCUUAGGGUUGUAAAACUCUUUCGUCGGGGACGAUAAUGACGGUACCCGAAGAAGAAGCUCCGGCUAACUUCGUGCCAGCAGCCGCGGUAAUACGAAGGGAGCUAGCGUUGUUCGGAAUCACUGGGCGUAAAGCGCACGUAGGCGGAUAGUUAAGUCAGGGGUGAAAUCCUGGGGCUCAACCCCAGAACUGCCUUUGAUACUGGCUGUCUCGAGGUCGAGAGAGGUUGGUGGAAUUCCUAGUGUAGAGGUGAAAUUCGUAGAUAUUAGGAAGAACACCAGUGGCGAAGGCGGCCAACUGGCUCGAUACUGACGCUGAGGCGCGGAAGCAUGGGGAGCAAACAGGAUUAGAUACCCUCGUAGUCCCUGAGCGGGCUGGCAAGGCGCAU